rnacentral:rRNA from 1 species
AACGAACGCUGGCGGCAGGCUUAACACAUGCAAGUCGAACGCCCCGCAAGGGGAGUGGCAGACGGGUGAGUAACACGUGGGAACGUGCCCUAAGGUUCGGAAUAUUCCCGGGAAACUGGGAGCAAUACCGAAUGUGUCCGAGAGGAGAAAGAUUUAUCGCCUUAGGAUCGGCCCGCGUCGGAUUAGCUCGGUGGUGGGGUAAUGGACUACCAAGGCGACGGUCCGUAGCUGGGCUGAGAGGACGACCAGACACACGGGGACUGAGACACGGCCCAGACUCCAACGGGAGGCAGCAGUGGGGAAGCUUAGUAAAUAGGCGCAAGCCUGAUCCAGCCAUGCCGCGUGGAUGAUGAAGGCCUUAGGGUUGUAAAAUCCUUUCGCCGAGGACGAUAAUGACGGUACACGGAGAAGAAGCUCCGGCUAACUUCGUGCCAGCAUCCGCCGUAA